rnacentral:rRNA from 1 species
UACGAAGGGGGCAAGCGUUGUUCGGAUUUACUGGGCGUAAAGGGCGCGCAGGCGGCUAUCCAAGUCAGGCGUGAAAGCCCCGGGCUUAACCUGGGAGGUGCGUCUGGGACUGGGUGGCUAGAGUUCGGGAGAGGAGAGUGGAAUUCCCAGUGUAGAGGUGAAAUUCGUAGAUAUUGGGAAGAACACCGGUGGCGAAGGCGGCUCUCUGGGACGGUACUGACGCUGAGACGCGAAAGCGUGGGGAGCGAACAGG